rnacentral:lncRNA from 1 species
GUUCUCCCACUAUUUUAUACGAAUUGGUAGUCUCUACCUCCAAUCUGAGAAAUUACCUUAAUUUUUUAGUGGGUACUAGAAUUCACACAGACUGUAUAUAAGUCUGAAGAUGGCUCGAUCAACCCAUAUGCAUCCAUGGAUAGAUUUUCAACCAAUUAUUUUUUCAAACAACUUCUAGUAUUUAAUUUCACUCCAGAUUUCAUUUCAGUAGGCGAUAGACCUCCACUAAAAGUUUUAGUUAGGUCCAACCAUUAACAUGAACCUACUCAGUGAUUCUAGCUAAAGAAUGAUCGGGCUCCA